GUGAUGUGGGGUAGUAUCCUGCAAGUCUUA
rnacentral:tRNA from 1 species